CGCCCUCGCCUACCCCGCGCCGGGCGGAGCAGGCGGCAAGCGCCGAACCGGGCGCGCAGCGGCAGAGCCGGAGCCGGAGCCGGAGCCGGGCCGGGACCAUGGGCGGUGAGUGCGGCGCGGCCCGGGACCGGGGUGCUUGCCGUUGGGGCUGAGCGGCGCGGAGGCUCGAGGCGGGCGGACGUCCUAGGGUCCGAUGUGGGGAGAUCGAGGGGUCUUCUGGCGGGACGACGGGGCAGUGUCUCUGGUGGGAGAGUGGUGCGGGGCUGGGGCGGGCUUCCGAGCACCGGGUCUGAACCCCGCGACCAAACUCCCUCCUCCAUCCCCACGCCCUCCCCAAACCCCAGCCCCGACUCGCUCCUCCUCCCCAAGCCACCCCUCUCGCCCCGCGCCCCAGCCUCCGCCCUCCGAGCCCCUGCGGCCUCUAACCUUGCCCACGAUUCCCCCGCUCUCUCCCCGGGCCCUAGCCCCCACCUCCCGGCGGGCGCCUCCCCCAAGCCCCGCUGCCUGCUGCCUCCCACCUCCAGCUCCGCGCCUCGCCUUCCUAGCCUCCCUCCACCCGCGUCCCCGCCCCUCCAACCCGCUCCCGCUCGGCCCCAGCGCUCCUGCCGCCCGAUUCCAGCCCGAGCUCCCGGGAGCCCCCUUCCCUGGCGGGUCCGACCCCGCCGGGCUCCAGAAGGCUGAGCCCAGCCUUACGAACGUGACGGGACUGCGGACGCGGCCUGGCAACAUCUCCUGCUCCUCAGAGGUGUUGCUGCCCAGUCUGGACAUCUGUGGGAAGAAAGUGUAAAGCAGAUGGUUUGAAAAGCGUCGGUUCCCGGGAGAGAGGUGGAGCGGCAUGGUUGCAGCUGAAAGCCGCGCGAGCUGCCCCAUCCGCUCUCUCGGCUUUCGUUAAGUCCGCAUUAAAUUAACUGCCUAUUUCAGAGAAAGCACAUGUGGGGGUACUUUUCUUGGAGGGAUUAGCUCCUGGCCUUCCCACCCUCCCUGAUGCCCAGGAGGCUGCUUUUGGGCACAGGGACAGGAAGGGCUCCCUGGCCCCAGGGGGCACAGCACUCUGAGCCUGUGAAACUGCAGUCUCUGACUCUUUUUCCUUUUGACUGGCUUGAAUAGUGAUCAGCUCAAUAUUCUUUCACCAUUGAAUAGGGAAUUUAUAAGUAAUUAGCCCAGGUCCCACUGGGGCGCAGUAGGCUCGAGUGCCCACCAGAUCCUGUGGGAGUUGUUGACUGUCAGAUGCCCCAUUGGCCAGGAGCACCUUCUGGGUCUGGGUAGGACCAUCUCUAUGGCCCCAGGGCCCAGCCUGGCCCCCUCUAAGUGUUAGGUAUUCAGUGUUUGUCUAGUAAAGAAACGGAUUCCCCUCUUGAAUCCAGGCUGAGUCCAUAACACAUGUUUUACCAUUUUGCUGCAUUGUUUUCAAAUUAUCUUUAAAUUCAUCAAAUUCUUAAAAAAAAUAGAUAAUCUCACUAGAGACAAACUCGUUUUUGUAUGUAUUUGGGGCAGAGAGCUCAAUUUGGGUCAUGCUCUGACAGCUGGGGCUCUAACCUCCGUGGGGACUCCAGAAUUUCCACGAAGGAAGUCAGUUGUGUUCAUCCCAGAGCUGGGCGAGGGGGUGAUGGGCACUAUGGGAGCUCAGGCUGUUUGCUGCAGGGCGAGUGACCACAGCCCAACGAUCGGGCCCUGAGCGGUGGCCGCAGCCCCUCCAGCAUCCCGCAUCCCCUCCAGCAUCCCGCAUCCCCUCCAGCGUCCCGCAUCCCCUCCAGCAUCCCGCAUCCCUGUCCAUGAUGGAAGAAGCC
rnacentral:lncRNA from 1 species